ACUAUUUUGAGACGAAGGGAGUAC
rnacentral:miRNA from 1 species